GCUGAGAGAGACCGCGCAUGCGCAGUGCUUUCCGCGCCAAUUUCGAGCUUACAGACAAACCGAGACGCGGAGGAGGAGCCGCCAUGAUCGGGCAGAGGACCCUGCGCUCUUUCUUCUCCCCGGUCGCCGCCGAGAAGUGGAGCCGCCCGUCGGAAGACAAUGGAGACGCCGAAGAGAAGCCCUGCAAGAGGGCCAAGGCCGACGAGGCCGGAGCCCCGCUCAGCCCGGAGCUGGUCGAGCGCAUCCGGAGGAACAAGGAGGCCGCCCAGGAGAGGCUGCGCCUGGCCCGCGCCCGAGGAGGAGGAGCUGGAGCAGGCCUCGCCCCCGAACACAUCGCCCCCGCCUGGAAGGCCGCCCUCGAACCCGAGUUCCACAAACCCUACUUCCACCAGCUGAUGUCCUUUGUGGCCGAGGAGCGCCGCCGCCACACGGUGUUCCCUCCACCGCACCAGGUCUUCACCUGGACCCAGAUGUGCGACAUCCACCAGGUGAAAGUGGUGAUCUUGGGCCAAGACCCCUACCACGGCCCCGGCCAAGCCCACGGCCUCUGCUUCAGCGUCCAGAGGCCCCUCCCGCCACCACCCAGCCUGGAGAACAUUUACAAAGAACUGGCCGCGGACAUUGAGGGGUUUUCUCACCCGGGACACGGAGACCUGAGCGGAUGGGCCAAACAAGGGGUGCUUCUGCUGAACGCGGUGCUGACGGUGCGGGCGCACGAGCCGACCUCGCACAAGGAGAAGGGCUGGGAGGCCUUCACGGACGCCGUGGUCGCCUGGCUCAACCGGAACGUGGACGGCCUCGUCUUCCUCCUCUGGGGCUCCUACGCCCACAAGAAGGGCAGCGCCAUCGACAGGAAGCGCCACUCGGUGCUGAUGUCGGCCCACCCGUCCCCCUUGUCGGCCCACCGGGGCUUCUUGGGCUGCCGGCAUUUCUCCAAAGCCAACGCCCUGCUCCAGAAGUCCGGCAAGAAGCCCAUCCACUGGGAAGACCUCUGAAGCCUGGGCUGCUUUUCCCGGUUCUGGACUCCCGAGUUCUAGGUUCUGACGUUUGGAUUGCUUUCGUACAUUCAUAUUCAUCUCCCAGACCGACAUUCCAGACACAGAGGUUAAAUUAUUAUUAUUAUUAUUAUUAUUAUUAUUAUAACUAUAUUAUUAGUAGUAGAAGUAUGUUACUAUUAUAAGUACAGUAGAGUCUCACUUAUCCAAUGUUCUGGAUUAUCCUUAUAUAAGUAUAUAUUCUUAUAUACUGCCAGUACUCUUGUCAAUCAUAUAUUUAUUAUUGCUGUUAUUAAUAAUACUGUACACAAAACUAAUAU